rnacentral:rRNA from 1 species
CAGCCGUAAACUAUGCUCGCUAGGUGUCAGGCAUGGCGCGACCGUGUCUGGUGCCGCAGGGAAGCCGUGAAGCGAGCCACCUGGGAAGUACGGCCGCAAGGCUGAAACUUAAAGGAAUUGGCGGGGGGAGCACAACAACGGGUGGAGCCUGCGGUUUAAUUGGACUCAACGCCGGACAACUCACCGGGGACGACAGCAAUAUGUAGGCCAGGCUGAAGACCUUGCCUGAAUCGCUGAGAGGUGGUGCAUGGCGUCAGUGACU